rnacentral:rRNA from 1 species
UCAAGAAAAUUUGGCAAUGGGCGAAAGCCUGACCAUGCGACGCCGCGUGCUGGACGAAGUCCUUCGGGACGUAAACAGCUUUUAUGGGGGAAGAAGUAAUUGACAUUACCCCAUGAAUAAGGGGCUCCUAACUCUGUGCCAGCAGGAGCGGUAAUACAGAGGCCCCGAGCAUUAUCCGGAAUCACUGGGCGUAAAGGAUGUGUAGGCGGUCAUAUUAGUCUUUCGUGAAAGCACUCGGACUCAAUCCGGGUAACGCGGGAGAAACGGUAUGACUGAGAGGACGCGAGAGGUAGAGGGAACUCAUGGUGUAGGGGUGAAAUCCGUUGAUAUCAUGGGGAACACCAAAUGCGAAGGCACUCUACUGGCGCGCUCCUGACGCUGAAACAUGAAAGCGUGGGAAUCGAACGGGAUUAGAUACCCCUGUAGUCC